UACGGAGGGUGCGAGCGUUGUCCGGAAUCACUGGGCGUAAAGGGCGCGUAGGUGGCGCGGGCAGUCAACGGUGAAAGUUCGGGGCUCAACCCUGAAUCGGCCGUCGAUACUCCCGGGCUUGAGCACUGUAGAGGCUAAUGGAAUUCCGGGUGUAGCGGUGGAAUGCGUAGAUAUCAAGAGGAACACCAGAGGCGAAGGCGGCCACCUGGACAGAGAUUGACGCUGAGACGCGAAAGCGUGGGGAGCAAACAGG
rnacentral:rRNA from 1 species